rnacentral:rRNA from 1 species
GAGUUUGAUCGUGGCUCAGGAUGAACGCUGGCGGCGUGCCUAAUACAUGCAAGUCGAGCGAACGGACGAGAAGCUUGCUUCUCUGAUGUUAGCGGCGGACGGGUGAGUAACACGUGGAUAACCUACCUAUAAGACUGGGAUAACUUCGGGAAACCGGAGCUAAUACCGGAUAAUAUUUUGAACCGCAUGGUUCAAAAGUGAAAGACGGUCUUGCUGUCACUUAUAGAUGGAUCCGCGCUGCAUUAGCUAGUUGGUAAGGUAACGGCUUACCAAGGCAACGAUGCAUAGCCGACCUGAGAGGGUGAUCGGCCACACUGGAACUGAGACACGGUCCAGACUCCUACGGGAGGCAGCAGUAGGGAAUCUUCCGCAAUGGGCAAAGCCUGACGGAGCAACGCCGCGUGAGUGAUGAAGGUCUUCGGAUCGUAAAACUCUGUUAUUAGGAAGAACAUAUGUGUAAGUAACUGUGCACAUCUUGACGGUACCUAAUCAGAAAGCC